GGUACAUGUCUUUCAACUACCACACCUAGAAACUGCUGCUAAGGGUGCAAUAUGAACACCUAACUCCUGUUGUAAAUGGGAUAAAAAUUGACAGUGGUUUGACAGAGGUAGCUGCUCUGAUUGCCAUGGUUUUUGGCUACCGUUUCUUGGUGUAUCUUUCGUUGCGGCGCAUGAAGCUUCAAUCCGGAGCAUGAGAUCAUUGAUCCAAGCAUAACAAGCAGUAGUCUGGAUUGAAAGAAAGUGCUUCCAUUUUUCGUGAACAUUGGAUGAAUGCUCAAAUUAUAAAGAGGACUACGUCGAUGUGUUACUGUCCAAACUUAAACUUGUAUACAAGGACACAGUAAUAUGUUGAUUGAGGCAAUAAAUUUUUAGUGUACCUACAAUAGGGUAAAAUUGAAAUUAUAAUCAGUUAAUAAUUAAUUUAAUUAAUUCUUAAUCAUUUUUAAUUUUAAAUUUUAAAAAAAUAAGGAUUUGGUUACGGAAAAGUUACGUAUUUUUCCAUUUUUACACGUGCGAAGAAUGUUCUACAGUUUCUUUCUCUCCGGCAGUCUCUUUCAAUCUCUCCGCAGUCCACACUGAAGCCGCAAAGAUCACCACCAUACGCCGCCCAGUUUUCCGGGAACGUCCGACGAAGACACCCUUUUUGCGCACGUUGCAUCUGUCAUGCAGCCUACCAACGCGGCGGUCGUGGGAAUGGUGUCACGUGUACGAUGAUUUGAAAUUUGGUGGGUUGCCUCCGGUGGAUGUGGUGUAUCAGAUUGAAGAUAUUAAGAAGGCCAGUGCUUCGUUUCAUGGUGUUGUGUAUAUUUUCGGCCAACUUGACUUUUUUGUUAUUUUGUUUGAUUCAAUUUAAAUAUAUACAAUGAACAAGUUUCUAAUGCAAUGAUAGAUGAGGGUGGGAUAGCAGCCGGUUUUGGGAGACGAGAGUAUUUGGGUAAAUUUCUUUGGUAAAUUAAGGUUGAGAUGAUUAAUUUUUUGAAAUAAUUGUUUGAGUUUUUUUUUUUUGUAUUGGGCCAAAUUCAAAAUUCAUUGUACUUCAAGAUUUUUCAUUAUCUUCCUAGCAGAGUUCAUUUAAUUAAUCACAUUCGAGUCAUAAAUCAUAAUAAGUAGACUUUGCUUCUCCUGUUUUUGGUGGUAGAAUAUAGAUAUUUGUAUCAUAAAAAAAUCGAUAUCUAUUUCUUAUAUAAUAAAUUUAAGGGUAAAGUAUGUUUGUCUUUGUUAAAAGCUUUAGUUGGAUUUAAGUCUGCUAUGUUAGUAAUUAACAAAAACAAACUAAUGGUAUAGUCCAAAACCAAAUGUUUCGAAUUUUUUUAGACCAAAAAUUCUAAUUUCUAUCUAUAAAUUGAUCAAACUACUAGCAGAAGAAACUAACACUUGAUCCUAAAUUUUAGCAGAGUUCCCAUAUUCAUUUCUUGGAUUUGGUACGUGUCUUUCAACUACCUCACCUACUAACUGCUGCUAUCAAAAUUGACGGUGGUUUGACAGAGGUAGCUGCUCUGAUAGCCAUGGUUUUCGGCUACCAUUUCUUGGCAUAUCUUUCGAUGUGGCACAUGAAGCUUCAAUCCGGAGCAUGAUAUCAUUGAUCCAAGCAUAACAAGCAGUAGCCUAGAUUGAAAGAAAGUGCUUCCAUUUUUCGUGAAGAGUGAUAUUGGAUGAAUGCUCAAAUUAUAAAGAAGACUACAUUGAUGUGUUACUGUCCAAACUUGUAUAAGGACACAGUAAUUAU
rnacentral:lncRNA from 1 species